rnacentral:tRNA from 2 species
GCAGGUAUAGCUCAGUCGGAAGAGCACCGCGUUGCCAACGCGAAGGCGCGAGUUCGAAUCUCGCUACCCGCUCCA